rnacentral:misc_RNA from 1 species
GAUGAAGAACGUAGCGAAAUGCGAUAAGUAAUGCGAAUUGCAGAAUUUCCGUGAGUCAUCGAAUCUUUGAACGCACAUUGCGCCCACUGGUAUUCUGGCGGGCAUGCCUGUUCGAGCGUCAUUUCAACCAUCAAGCCCCAGGCUUGUGUUGGGGACCUGCGGCUGCCGCAGGCCCUGAAAACCAGUGGCGGGCUCGCUGUCACACCGGGCGUAGUAGAUUUUAUCUCGCUCAGGGCGUGCUGCGGGUUCCGGCCGUUAAAAAGCCUUUUUUACCCAAGGUUGACCUCGGAUCAGGUAGGAAGACCCGCUGAACUUAAGCAUAUCAAUAAGCGGAGGA